ACCGUACGAACGUUAUUCGGAAUCACUGGGCUUAAAGGGUGCGUAGGCGGCGCGACAAGUUGGGUGUGAAAUCCCUCGGCUCAACCGAGGAACUGCGCCCAAAACUGUCGUGCUCGAGGGAGACAGAGGUGAGCGGAACUUAGGGUGGAGCGGUGAAAUGCGUUGAUAUCCUAAGGAAGACCAGUGGCGAAGGCGAGUCUCUGGACAGUUACUGACGCUGAGGCACGAAGGCCAGGGGAGCAAACGGG
rnacentral:rRNA from 1 species